AUGUACUGUAAAGUUCCAAGCGCAAAAGAGGCAAUAAAUGAAAGAACAAUAACAAUAACGUUUAGAAAACAAUUGGAAGAAUAUACGACAAUAUCACCGUAUUGUUGGGAAAAAUUGUGGAAAAUGUAUGACUUGGAAUUGUAAUAGAUUAAGUAAUUAUAAGUUUGUAAAAUGUUAUAAUAUGGUAGUGGUAUAAUAAAUGAGUUUAUAAAGAUUUUUUUGUUUUUUUUGAAAUCUUUUUUUAAUUUUUAAUUUUUUAAAAUUUUUUUUUUAAAUUUUUUUUUGCGCUGAAAAGAUUAAGAUAGAGAGUUAGGUUAACACAAGUUGGGUUGAUGUAACUUACGUUUGUAAGUUGUGUAAAUAACCUAACUCUGCAGAGUUGAGUUAACAAAAGUUGUGUUGAUGUUCAAGUGAUGUGUAAUAAAGUGAGGUUAAGUGAGUGUAAGUUGGGAAAUGAAAUGUAGUCAAUUGGGUCAAUGUAGUGAAUUUCAAUUAGGUCAAUUAGGUCAAUUCAAAUUAUAAGGUCAAUUGAGUGUUAGGUUAGGUUAGGUUUAGUUUAGGCCUUUGGAGCCCCCCAGGCCUUUGGGGCCUGGGUCUCGGACUUAGGUCUGGGACCUAGGCUCCAAGGGGAGGAGUUGCUGGACUUUUACUGG
rnacentral:misc_RNA from 1 species